rnacentral:rRNA from 1 species
UACGGGGUAGGCGAGACGUUGUCCGGAAUCACUGGGCGUAAAGGGCGCGUAGGUGCGUCAUGAAGGGUGUGGUGAAAGUCCGGGGCUCAACCCGGAUCGUCCGUGGCCGACUGUGCUGGAGACUGUAGAGGCGGGUGGAAUUCCGGGUGUAGCGGUGGAAUGCGUAGAGAUCCGGAAGAACGACCGGUGGCGAAGGCGGCCUGCUGGGCAGUUGCUGACACUGAGGCGCGACAGCGUGGGGAGCAACAGG